rnacentral:rRNA from 1 species
GAUGAACGCUGGCGGCGUGCCUAAUACAUGCCAGUCGAGCGAACGGACGAGAAGCUUGCUUCUCUGAUGUUAGCCGCGGACGGGUGAGUAACACGUGGAUAACCUACCUAUAAGACUGGGAUAACUUCGGGAAACCGGAUCUAAUACCGGAUAAUAUUUUGCACCGCAUGGUUCAAAAGUGAAAGACGGUCUUGCUGUAACUUAUAGAUGGAUCCGCGCUGCAUUAGCUAGUUGGUAAGGUAACGGCUUACCAAGGCAACGAUGCAUAGCCGACCUGAGAGAGGGGUCGGCCACACUGGAGCGGGGACGGGGUCAAGAGUACUACGGGAGGCAGCAGUAGGGAAUCUGCCGCAAUGGGCGAAAGCCUGACGGAGCAACGCCGAGUGAGAGAUGAAGGUGUUGGGAGCGUAAAAAUCUGUUAUUAGGUAAGAACAUAUGUGUAAGUAACUGUGCAGAUCGUGACGGUACCUAAUCAGAAAGCCACGGCUAGCUACGUG